rnacentral:rRNA from 1 species
AACGAACGCUGGCGGCAUGCCUAACACAUGCAAGUCGAACGAGACCUUCGGGUCUAGUGGCGCACGGGUGCGUAACGCGUGGGAACCUGCCCUUAGGGUCGGCAUAACUCCCCGAAAGGGGUGCUAAUACCGGAUAAUGUCUUCGGACCAAAGAUUUAUCGCCUUUGGAUGGGCCCGCGUUGGAUUAGCUAGUUGGUAGGGUAAAAGCCUACCAAGGCGACGAUCCAUAGCUGGUCGGAGAGGAUGAUCAGCCACACUGGGACUGAGACACGGCCCAGACUCCGACGGGAGGCAGCAGUGGGGAAUAUUGGACGAUGGGCGAAAGCCUGAUCCAGCAAUGCCGCGUGAGUGAUGAAGGCCUUAGGGUUGUAAAGCUCUUUUACCCGGGAUGAUAAUGACAGUACCGGGAGAAUAAGCUCCGGCUAACUCCGUG